GAUGAACGCUGGCGGCGUGCCUAAUACAUGCAAGUCGAGCGGUAAGGCCCCUUCGGGGGUACACGAGCGGCGGACGGCUGAGUAACACGUAGGAACGUACCCCAAACUGAGGGAUAAGCACCGGAAACGGUGUCUAAUACCGCAUGUGCUCUUCGGAGUAAAGCUACGGCGGUUUGGGAACGGCCCGCGCAUGAUUAGCUCGUUGGUGAGGUAAUGGCUCACCAAGGCGACGAUCAUUAGCUGGUCUGAGAGGAUGAUCAGCCAGACUGGGACUGAGAACGGCCCAGACUCCUACGGGAGGCAGCAGUAGGGAAUUUUCCACAAUGGACGAAAGUCUGAUGGAGCAACGCCGCGUGAACGAUGAAGGCUUUCGGGUCGUAAAGUUCUGUUGUAAGGGAAGAACAAGUGCCGCAGGCAAUGGCGGCACCUUGACGGUACCUUGCGAGAAAGCCACGGCUAAC
rnacentral:rRNA from 1 species